AGGUUGGGAUCAGUUGCAAUGCUGUGUGUUUGUCUGUGGUAUUGCACUUGUCCCGGCCUGU
rnacentral:pre_miRNA from 1 species